rnacentral:rRNA from 1 species
AUUGAACGCUGGCGGCAGGCCUAACACAUGCAAGUCGAGCGGAUGAAGGGAGCUUGCUCCUGGAUUCAGCGGCGGACGGGUGAGUAAUGCCUAGGAAUCUGCCUGGUAGUGGGAGAUAACGUCCGGAAACGGGCGCUAAUACCGCAUACGUCCUGAGGGAGAAAGUGGGGGAUCUUCGGACCUCACGCUAUCAGAUGAGCCUAGGUCGGAUUAGCUAGUUGGUGGGGUAAAGGCCUACCAAGGCGACGAUCCGUAACUGGUCUGAGAGGAUGAUCAGUCACACUGGAACUGAGACACGGUCCAGACUCCUACGGGAGGCAGCAGUGGGGAAUAUUGGACAAUGGGCGAAAGCCUGAUCCAGCCAUGCCGCGUGUGUGAAGAAGGUCUUCGGAUUGUAAAGCACUUUAAGUUGGGAGGAAGGGCAGUAAGUUAAUACCUUGCUGUUUUGACGUUACCAACAGAAUAAGCACCGGCUAACUUCGU